rnacentral:tRNA from 1 species
GCCCCGCUAGCUCAAUUGGUAGAGCAGCUGACUCUUAAUCAGGAGGUUCUAGGUUCGAGUCCUAGGCGGGGCA